GAUGAACGCUGGCGGCGUGCCUAAUACAUGCAAGUCGAGCGAACAGACGAGGCGCUUGCUCCUCUCUCGUUAGGCGCGGACGUGAGUGUAACACGUGUAUACUCUACCUAUAUUACUGGGAUAACUACGGGAAACCGGCGCUAAUACCGUAUAAUAUACUGAUCCACAGGGUUCAAUAGUAAAAGACGGUUUUUGUGUCACUUAUCGAUGGAUCCGCGCCGCAUUGGCUAGUUGGUAGGGUAACGGGUUACCAAGGCAACGAUGCGUAGCCGACCGGAGAGGGUGAUCGGCGACACUGGAACGGGAACAGGGACAAGACUCCUGAGGGAGGCAGCAGUAGGGAACGGUACGCAAUGGGCGAGAGCCUGGCGGAGCAACGCCGAGUGAGUGAUGAAGGUCUUCGGAGCGUAAAACUCUGUUAUUAGGGAAGAACAAAUGUGUAAGUAACUAUGCACGUCUUGACGGUACCUAGUCAGAAAGCAACGGCUAACUACGUG
rnacentral:rRNA from 1 species